rnacentral:rRNA from 1 species
AUACGGAGGGGGUUAGCGUUGUUCGGAAUUACUGGGCGUAAAGCGUACGUAGGCGGAUUAGUAAGUUAGGGGUGAAAUCCCGAGGCUCAACCUCGGAACUGCCUCUAAAACUGCUAGUCUUGAGUUCGAGAGAGGUGAGUGGAAUUCCUAGUGUAGGGGUGAAAUUCGUAGAUAUUAGGAGGAACACCAGUGGCGAAGGCGGCUCACUGGCUCGAUACUGACGCUGAGGUACGAAAGUGUGGGGAGCAAACAGGAUUAGAAACCCGGGUAGUCC